rnacentral:piRNA from 1 species
UCCCUGCCUUGUGAGAGCUGAGGAUUUCA